GGUGCCUGAGGACGGGCCCGCGCACCAUUAGCUUGUUGGUAGGGUAACGGCCUACCAAGGCUGAGAUGGUUAGCUGGUCUGAGAGGAUGGUCAGCCACAGUAGCACUGAGACACGGGCUACACUCCUACGGGAGGCAGCAAUUAGGAAUCUUGCGCAAUGGGCGAAAGCCUGACGCAGCGACACCGCGUGAAGGAUGAAGGUUUUUGGAUUGUAAACUUCUUUUAUAAUCUAACAAGUUCUGAGUGGAUUAUGAAUAAGCACCUGCUAACUGCGUGCCAGAAGCAUCGGUGAUGCGUGGGGUGCAAGCGUUAUCCGGAUUUAUUGGGUGUAAAGUGAUGCGUAGGCGUUUUGAUAAGUCUAAUGUUAAAUACCUUGGCUUAACCAAGGAGAUGCGUUGGAUACUAUUAAAAUAGAGACAGAGAGAGGGAAGUAGAAUUCCCGGUGGAGCGGUGAAAUGCGUUGAUAUCGGGAGGAAUACCAGUGGCGAAGGCGACUUCCUGGCUCUGUUCUGACGCUGAGGCUCGAAAGCGUAGGUAGCGAAACGGAUUAGAUACCCGUGUAGUCUACGCUGUAAACGAUGGACACUGGAUGUUCGUCUAGACCGCUUAAGUUGCUUGCAAUUUUAAGCAGUCGGAUGAGUGUCGAAGCUAACGCGUUAAGUGUCCCGCCUGGGAAGUACGGUCGCAAGGCUAAAACUCAAAGGAAUUGGCGGGGAGGCGCACAAGCAGUGGAGCGCGUGGUUUAAUUCGAUGGUGAUCGCAGAACCUUACCAAGGUUUGACAUGUAGCUGCAAAGCCUAUGAAAAUAGGAAUCUUUCGAAGGUGCUACACAGGUGCUGCAUGGCCGCCGUCAGCUCGUGUCGUGAGAUGUAGGGUUAAGUCCCGAAACGAGCGCAACCCCUAUCCCGUGUUAUAAGUGUCUCGGGAAACCGCUUUGGUAAAACAAAGAGGAAGGUGGGGAUGACGUCUGGUCCGCAUGGCCCUUAUGCCUUGGGCCACACACGCGCUACAAUGGUCGAUACAAUGGGUUUGCCAAAUCGUAAGAUGGAGCUAAUCCCAUUAAAGUCGAUCUCAGUUCGGAUUGAGGUCUGAAAUUCGACCUCAUGAAGUUGGAAUUGCUAGUAAUCGCAGAUCAGCCAUGCUGCGGUGAAUACGUUCUCGCCUCUUGCACACACCGCCCGUCAUGUCAUGAAAGCCGGGGGUACCCGAAGGCGUCAUAUCUCGAUUUAUCGAGAAUAGGCGUCGAAGGUAAACUUGGUGAUUGGGACAAAGUCGUAACAAGGUAACC
rnacentral:rRNA from 1 species